AAAGCGUUUUGGCAUGCAAAUCACUGCCGUUACACAACUGGUGGAUGGAAGAGGGGGAGGUGAGGAGGGGAGGAGGGAGGUCAAGAAAGAAAAGGGAGAGUGGUCACAUAAUAGGGUCCUUAACACCCCUCCCUUUUCCCUCCUCCAUCACAAACGCUCGUUCAUGCCUAGUCUAUCAACAGCUGUUUGGUGAGAGUGUGAAUUUCUUCACCAUAUGGCGCAUUAAACUACACUUUAGCAUACACAUGGAAGGAGAAGUCACAUAAACUGUAAGAGCUGGUUAAGUCCACUUCAAGUAAAGUAUGAAAUAAGAACUUUGUGGGUAUUAUAAACCAACUUUAGAGGUUUCUCUUGCAGGAAAUUGUAUUGCCAGCUGCACUAAGGGAGUCAUUUUUCUGUCAGAGGUUUUAUUAUUUCCCAUAAAAACAUCUGCCAGUGUUGCUGAAAAUGA